AUCCAUAUGAUCUGCCACAUGAGCCAACGCCAGUGCUGCACACAGUGUCUUUUCUCUGAAAAGGCAGUGUGUUUACAUUAAAAAGCCCCAGGGACAGGCUAUAGACACCAGAACCAUUACAUUAAGCUGUAGUGGUUCUGGUAACUAUAAUGUCCCUUAAAUGUGAGGUAAAUUAGAGAUUAGUGCCACCAAUAAUAUACUGGAUUGCCUUCUUACCAU
rnacentral:lncRNA from 1 species